CACAGGUUGGGCUCUGCUCUCACUCCCUCCCCGUUUCAGAACGAGGUCAGGAUGCCGACCAGCGUGGUGAAGGUGAACAACAUGGAGGUUUCCACUGAGGGCUCGGACAAGACCGUCAUCAACAUCAGCGUCACCCAGGAGUCAUCGCUGGCCUUCCUGGUCAGGUCUGUGCAAUGGGCAAGGGCCAGGCCUGGGGCACCCGCCAGCCAGGGCCUUGCCAAGGGCUGCUGCCGCGGGGAGCAGAACGUGCUGGGGGUCUGGCUCACCUUGUUGUUCACCCUGGCCAGCACUGUCUCGGCCACCGUGGCUGUGAUCGUGGGGGUUCAGAACAUGGCAUGGAAUUUCCCCCUCUCCAGCGGCCCCUACCUGUGUGACUCGGUCCCAUCCCCGCCCUCGGACUCCGAUGGCUCCUGGAGGCAGCGCAACUGCAGGAGAGAGUUCAGGCACUUUGAGAACCUGUUCCUGGGCGUGCGGCUGCUGCUGCUGCUGACCAUGGCCACCGGCCUCUGCAUCGCCUUCUACUCCUUCCUCUGCAGCUGCUGGGCCCUGUGCUGCAGGAAGCAGGAGGGGGCCGAGGCGGCAGGGAGCAAGGAGCCACUAUUGGCCUCUGACUCCAUCGUCCCUCUGGAUGAGGAGAAAAGCCCGGAUAUCUGAGCUCCCAGCCAGGCUCCAGCUUCGCUCUGCCUGGUAACCACUCACCUCCACUCCAUGUUUGUGAGGAUGAGCUGGCUUGGCUAAACCCGGUAGAGCCAGAUCAUGCAAUUCAGUGGGACACGUCAAUGUGUGUUAAAAACAACGCUGGAGUGGAGAUCAAACACAUCAUGGCUCAGGCUUUCAAGAGUCCUUUGUCCUCUCCCCAGCAAACACAACUUCUUGGAGAAUUAGAAAAGGCCCCCAAGCUUGUUUACCACAUUGGCCUCACUCCUGCCAAACUGUCUGACCUGGUGGAAAAUAAUCCUCUAGUUGCUAUAGAAAUGUUGCUUAAACUAAUGCAGUCCAGUCAGAUAACCGAGUAUUUUUCUGUCCUGGUCAACAUGGACAUGUCCUUACAGUCAGUGGAAGUUCAGUUGAUCUCCCUCCUGAAUUCAUUCACCUUUAUAUCUCCAAUUGCAUCUCUCUCUACCUGUGAACAGAUUAAGGAUCAAUACAUGCAGAACCGCCUGGUACGUAUUGUUUGUGUCUUUCUCCAAUCCUUGAUCCGGAACAAAAUUAUUAAUGUACAGGGCUUGUUUACAGAAGCAGGCAUUUUGUAUUGAGUUCAGUCGGACAGGAGAAGCAGCUGAUUGCCCAAGACACUGGAUACGGGGGAAAAUCCGUCAGAGGCAAAGGCUUCAAAAUAAGACCCUUUCAAAAUCUGGCGAAACAGCAGUCAGCUGAAUGGUCUGUCGCAUUACUUUUUUGUGUAUAAAUUUUAAACUUAAAAACAAAACAAACGCUCUUCACAGCCUGCCUCCCUCCCACACCACCUGCCUCCCUGUCCUGGCUCUGGAACUGGGGUUCCCCUGUGUUCCCCCUCGUGCACUAACUGUAGCCAGGUCCUAGAUGUGCCGGAGCAGGGCGCGGGCGGAUUUGACCUGGGAAUGUUGCAGGGAGGUUACAUUGGGGAUGAGAAAGAAGCUCCCUGAGCUGUAACCCGAGCCAGGACGGGGGCUGGGAGAAGUGACACCUUCUGCCAUGAGACUGAACAAAGGGGAGGAGGAGCAGAGGGGAGCGGGGAGAGAGCUGCUGGAGGAAUUUUUAGUUUCAGUUUGGGCUGGGGGGUGCAAUGCAGGGAUCCCCAGGCUGGGGUCUAAGCGCCCUGAACCCCCAGAAGGACUUGAUUGAGCGGUCCUGGUUGUACCUACCCACUCCACUUGGGGCUGUGUUCCUGUCCUCUAAUAAACCUGUGUUACUGGCUGGCUGAGAGUCCCGG
ensembl:lncRNA